rnacentral:sRNA from 1 species
AUUUUUUUAUGUAUUGAUGUGACAAUCAGAGAGAGUUGACCAACUUUCAUAUAUAUGAUUUUCUGAAGUAAUGUUUUAAUUAUACGACGUAUUAGUGCCGACAGUGUAACCUUUCG